rnacentral:rRNA from 1 species
UGAACGCUGGCGGCAGGCUUAACACAUGCAAGUCGAGCGGAAACGAAGGUAGCUUGCUACCAGACGUCGAGCGGCGGACGGGUGAGUAAUGCUUAGGAAUCUACCGAGUAGUGGGGGAUAGCCAUUGGAAACGAUGAUUAAUACCGCAUAUGUCCUACGGGGGAAAGCAGGGGACCUUCGGGCCUUGCGCUAUUCGAUGAGCCUGAGUGAGAUUAGCUAGUUGGUGGGGUAAAGGCCUACCAAGGCGACGAUCUCUAGCUGGUCUGAGAGGAUGAUCAGCCACACUGGGACUGAGACACGGCCCAGACUCCUACGGGAGGCAGCAGUGGGGAAUAUUGCACAAUGGACGAAAGUCUGAUGCAGCCAUGCCGCGUGUGUGAAGAAGGCCUUCGGGUUGUAAAGCACUUUCAGCGAGGAGGAAAGGUCAGUAGGUAAUAUUUGCUGGCUGUGACGUUACUCGCAGAAGAAGCACCGGCUAAUUUAGUGCCAGCAGCCGCGGUAAUACUAAAGGUGCAAGCGUUAAUCGGAAUUACUGGGCGUAAAGCGCGCGUAGGUGGUUUGUUAAGUUGGAUGUGAAAGCCCAGGGCUCAACCUUGGAACUGCAUUCAAAACUGACUCACUAGAGUACGAGAGAGGUUAGUGGAAUUUCCUGUGUAGCGGUGAAAUGCGUAGAGAUGGGAAGGAACACCAGUGGCGAAGCGACUGACUGGCUCGAUACUGACACUG